CCUACGGGAGGCAGCAGUGGGGGAUAUUGCACAAUGGAGGAAACUCUGAUGCAGCGACGCCGCGUGAGGGAAGACGGUCUUCGGAUUGUAAACCUCUGUCUUUGGGGAAGAAAAUGACGGUACCCAAAGAGGAAGCUCCGGCUAACUACGUGCAAGCAGCCGCGGUAAUACGUCGGGAGCGAGCGUUGUCCGGAUUUACUGGGUGUAAAGGGAGCGUAGGCGGGCGAGAAAGUUGAAUGUUAAAUCUACCGGCUUAACUGGGAGCUGCGUUUAACACUUCUUGUCUUGAGUGAAGUAGAGGCAGGCGGAAUUCCUGGUGUAGCGGUGAAAUGCGUAGAUAUCAGGAGGAACACCGGUGGCGAAGGCGGCCUGCUGGACUGCAACUGACGUUGAGGCCCGAAAGCGUGGGGAGCAAACAGGAUUAGAUACCCUUGUAGUC
rnacentral:rRNA from 1 species